CAGCCUGUUUCUGAGCUUGUCAUAAGGCCACAGACCAGAAUACGGAUGAGAGGAUACAUGAAGGCAAAAGAGCUGGUAGUGGAUAAAAAACUGCAAGAGUGGUUAGCUUUAACACACAAUUAUGUUUCUUUUUCUAUGUAAUACUCUCCUAUUCAUGUUCAAAAACCACCUCUCUAGCUUUUGCAAGAUAGACCCUCCUCCCUCGUGCCUAUUGAGAAUAAUAUAAUAGGAAAUGCAGUCCGUAUUGUCCGUAACAUGGAUAACUUGGCAAGUCGAACAAUUCUGAUGGAAUAUCGCUGUUAUUGAAAGGUGGAG